rnacentral:rRNA from 1 species
GUAGGUGACCUGCAGAUGGAUCAUUUCGAUGAAAACCUUUUUUCUUGAGGUGUGGCUCGCACCUGUCUAACUAAAAUUGAGCUACCUUUUUUUAACACGGUUGCAUCGGUUGGCCUGUCAAACAGUGUGGCGGCAAGAAUUUAUUUUCCUGCCUGCCAAGCUAGGCGACGGACCGACACUUAAUCAACACUUUUGAUGAUCUAGGAUUUGAAUGUAUAAAAGUUACUUUUUUAUAACUAAAAAACAACUUUUGGCAACGGAUCUCUUGGUUCUCCCAUCGACGAAGAACGCAGCGAAUUGCGAUAAGUAAUGUGAAUUGCAGAAGUGAAUCAUCGAAUCUUUGAACGCACCUUGCGCUCCCGGCAGAUCUAAUCUGGGGAGCAUGCCUGUUUGAGGGCCGCGAAUUGUUUCGAACGACAGCUUUUUUCACGAAAAGUUGGCGGAUCGGUAUUGAGGGUUUUGCCAUUUACCAUGGCUCCCUCGAAAUGCAUUAGCGCAUCCAUUUGAUAGGCAAGACGGACGAAAGCCCGCUUUUCGCUCUCUCUUCCCUGCCGGGUUUUGAUAAUAUCAGGACUUCGGAGAGGUUGAGAUGGGUAAGAGCUGGACGCAACGACUUGCUGUUUGGAGUGCUUCUGAAACCCGCCCCAUGCCAAAUCCACCCUUUUGGGAAAUUUGGAAGGGAUUUAAUAAUUCAUCGGCCUCAGAUUGGUAUGACUACCCCCUGAACUUUAGCAUAUCAAUAAAGCGG